rnacentral:rRNA from 1 species
AGUGAACGCUGGCGGUAGGCCUAACACAUGCAAGUCGAACGGCCGCACAGUAAGAGCUUGCUCUUACGGGUGGCGCGUGGCGGCCGGGUCAGGCCUACAUCGGAAUCUACUUUUUCGUGGGUGAUAACGUCGGACAACUUACGCUAAUACCGCAUACCACCUACGGGUUAACGCAGGGGAUCUUCGGACCUUGCGCGAUUGAAUGAGCCGCUGUCGGACGAGCUAGUUGGCGGGGUAAAGGCCCACCAAGGCGACGAUCCCUAGCUGGUCUGAGAGGGUGAUCAGCCACACGGGAAGUGAGACAGGGUCCAGACUCCUACGGGAGGCAGCAGUGCGGAAUAUUAGGGAAGGGGGGAGAGCCUGAUCCAGCAAUACCGGGGGGGGGAAGAAGGACUUCGGGUGGGAAAGCCCUGUUGUUGGGAAAGAAAAGCAGCAGGUUAAUACCCCGCGGUUCUGACGGUACCCAAAGAAUAAGCACCGGCUAACUUCGUG